rnacentral:lncRNA from 1 species
GAAGCUGCCCUGCGCCAGGAGGAACUGUAGUAUACCGAAUUUAACAAAAAAGGGUAAAAAUAAUUAAAAAUAGUGUGAGAUACUAUUUUUAUUGAAUUUAUAGAAGUAAAAUAUAAGUCGAAAAUGACUCGUGUGGAAAUCAGAGUGAGAACAGAAGAUUUUAAAUUUUUUGUGUGAAUCGAGGCUGUUAUUUUAGCAGAAAAUGCAGUGUCAGAAAAUUAUGAAAACUUGGAAUUAUGUUCGGAAUAUUUUUAUGAGGCUAGAUUUAAAGUUUCAUAUUGAUCCGACACCUGGAAGGUGAAAAAUAAAAUCCGACUGCUAUCUGCUAGAGAUUACAGUUCGGUAGAGUUUUCGGUGACCAAACAUGGUCGUAACGGA